GAUGAAGAACGUAGCGAAAUGCGAUACUUGGUGUGAAUUGCAGAAUCCCGUGAACCAUCGAGUCUUUGAACGCAAGUUGCGCCCGAAGCCAUUAGGCCGAGGGCACGCCUGCCUGGGCGUCACACGUCGUUGCCCCCCCAUCUACUCCUUCGGGAUUGCGGGGGGCGGAUGAUGGCCUCCCGUGCGCCUCGCCGCGCGGUUGGCAUAAAUGCCAAGUCCUCGGCGACGCACGCCACGACAAUCGGUGGUUGCGAAACCUCGGUUGCCCGUCGCGUGCGGUCGUCGCGCAUCGAGGGCUCGAAAAAAUUGCCGGGUUCCGGCUCGGCUUUCAACGCGACCCCAGGUCAGGCGGGGUUACCCGCUGAAUUUAAGCAUAUCAAUAAGCGGAGGA
rnacentral:misc_RNA from 1 species